rnacentral:rRNA from 1 species
GACGAACGCUGGCGGCGUGCUUAACACAUGCAAGUCGAACGGAAAGGCCUCUUUCGGGGGGUACUCGAGUGGCGAACGGGUGAGUAACACGUGAGUAACCUGCCCUUGACUUUGGGAUAACUUCAGGAAACUGGGGCUAAUACCGGAUAGUAGUGCCUGCUGCAUGGUGGGGGUUGGAAAGUUUCGGCGGUUGGGGAUGGACUCGCGGCUUAUCAGCUUGUUGGUGGGGUAGUGGCUUACCAAGGCUUUGACGGGUAGCCGGCCUGAGAGGGUGACCGGCCACAUUGGGACUGAGAUACGGCCCAGACUCCUACGGGAGGCAGCAGUGGGGAAUAUUGCACAAUGGGUGGAAGCCUGAUGCAGCAACGCCGUGUGCGGGAUGACGGCCUUCGGGUUGUAAACCGCUUUCGCUCAUGACGAAGCUUUGUGUGACGGUAGUGGGUAAAGAAGCACCGGCUAACUACGUG